rnacentral:misc_RNA from 1 species
GGCCACCCCAAUAUCGAAGGGGACUAAAACGACAAAUCUAUCUGAAUAAACUCUUCUU